CCUACGGGUGGCAGCAGUGAGGAAUAUUGGUCAAUGGGCGCGAGCCUGAACCAGCCAAGUCGCGUGAGGGAAGACGGUCCUAUGGAUUGUAAACCUCUUUUGUCGGGGAGCAAAAGACGCCACGCGUGGCGUUUUGUGAGUACCCUAAGAAAAAGCAUCGGCUAACUCCUUGCCAGCAGCCGCGGUAAUACGGAGGAUGCGAGCGUUAUCCGGAUUUUGUGGGUUUAAAGGGGGCGUAGGCGGAAGUUCAAGUCAGCGGUAAAAUUGAGAGGCUCAACCUCUCCGGGCCGUUGAAACUGGUGGUCUUGAGUGAGUGAGGGGUAUACGGAAUGCGUGGUGUAGCGGUGAAAUGCAUAGAUAUCACGCAGAACUCCGAUUGCGAAGGCAGCAUACCGGCGCUCAACUGACGCUCAUGCACGAAAGUGUGGGUAUCAAACAGGAUUAGAUACCCGAGUAGUC
rnacentral:rRNA from 1 species